rnacentral:rRNA from 1 species
GACGAACGCUGGCGGCGUGCUUAACACAUGCAAGUCGAACGGAAAGGCCCUGCUUGCCGGGUACUCGAGUGGCGAACGGGUGAGUAACACGUGGGUGAUCUGCCCUGCACUUCGGGAUAAGCUUGGGAAACUGGGUCUAAUACCGGAUAGGAGCCAUCUUUAGUGUGGUGGUUGGAAAGUUUUUUCGGUGUAGGAUGAGCUCGCGGCCUAUCAGCUUGUUGGUGGGGUAAUGGCCUACCAAGGCGGCGACGGGUAGCCGGCCUGAGAGGGUGUACGGCCACAUUGGGACUGAGAUACGGCCCAGACUCCUGCGGGAGGCAGCAGUGGGGAAUAUUGCACAAUGGGCGCAAGCCUGAGGCAGCGACGCCGCGUGGGGGAUGAAGGCCUUCGGGUUGUAAACUCCUUUCGCUAGGGACGAAGCUUUUUUGUGACGGUACCUAGAUAAGAAGCACCGGCUAACUACGUG